AUUGAACGCUGGCGGCAUGCCUUACACAUGCAGGUCGAACGGCAGCACGGACUUCGGUCUGGUGGCGAGUGGCGAACGGGUGAGUAGUAUAUCGGAACAUACCUUGUAGUGGGGGAUAACUAUCCGAAAGGAUAGCUAAUACCGCAUACGCGCUAAGGAGGAAAGUGGGGGAUCGCAAGACCUCAUGCUAUAAGAGUGGCCGAUAUCUGAUUAGCUAGUUGGUGAGGUAAAGGCUCACCAAGGCGACGAUCAGUAGCUGGUCUGAGAGGACGACCCGCCACACUGGAACUGAGACACGGUCCAGACUCCUACGGGAGGCAGCAGUAGGGAAUUUUGGACAAUGGGGGCAACCCUGAUCCAGCAAUGCCGCGUGAGUGAAGGAGGCCUUCGGGUUGUAAAGCUCUUUUGUCAGGGAAGAAACGGUUGUGGCUAAUAUCCAUGGCUAAUGACGGUACCUGAAGAAUAAGCACCGGCUAACUACGUGCCAGCCGCCGCGGUAAUAC
rnacentral:rRNA from 1 species